CAGCCGCCGCGGUAAGACGAACCGUGCGAACGUUAUUCGGAAUCAUUGGGCUUAAAGCGCGUGUAGGCGGAUGGGAACGUCGGUCGCUGAAAUACCCCGGCUCAACCGGGGAACUGGCAUCGAAACGACCCGUCUCGAGGGGCAUAGGGGGAGCUGGAACUUCCGGUGGAGCGGUGAAAUGCGUUGAGAUCGGAAGGAACGCCCGUGGCGAAAGCGAGCUCCUGGAUGUCUUCUGACGCUGAGACGCGAAAGCUAGGGUAGCGAACGGGAUUAGAUACCCCUGUAGUCCCUGUCUCUUAUA
rnacentral:rRNA from 1 species